CAUUAACCCAACUAAUAUUUUUACCUAAAAGAAAUUAUUUUCCCCUUCCCAACAACCCUAAUAGUGUUUCAUUCUCUCCAUUCAUUCUUUACAGGUAUUGUUCCAAGAAAAUUCACAGGCAACCAGCAACCAGUAACCGGCGACACGCUCACCGGCAUCUUAUUCUCUCUGUACUCCAUCAGUUAACCUUCUUCUUCUAUUCUCCACAACGUCCUGUUCCAAGAGAUUCCACCUACAUCCGACAUCCAGCAAUUGAGGACGUGCUCACCGACAUCCUAUUCUAUGCAUACUCCUCCUCCAUCGCUUAGCCUUGUUUUUCUUAUCUCCAACAGUAGUGUGUCCCCUUUCCAAGAACCCUAAUAGUGUCUUGUUCUCUCCAUUCAUUCUCUAUAGCAUACUAUUCUAAUAAACUUCACAGGAAACCGACAACCAGCAUCUUAUUCUCUCUGUACUCCAUUGGUUAACCUUCUUCUAUUCCAUAACAUCCUGUUCCAAGUGAUUCCACCGACAUCCGACAUCCGGCAACUGGCAACCAGCAAUCAAGGACGUGCUCACUGAUACACCGGUGGUUAAGUAACCUCAACUAAUACAAGAAAAAAUUGAGCAUUAUUUUCUUAUAGUUCUUCCAACCAGGACUUAAAGCUAUGAUAUGGUCGAGAUCCUACAAUUGAUCCGUUUAGUGGAGUUUGAGCAAAGAGUUUUAUUACAUGGAUUGUCACUACGUUUUCCCAAGACUUGCUUCCUAAUUACUUCAUUAGGAGUUCAAGCUUCAUAAGGAAACUCAACACCAUUCUGUCAAUUGAAGAGGAAUGUGCAUCAAUGCACGACAAGCUAACUUGAUGGAAGCAAAAGCAAUAGAAACCAAAGUUUAUGGCAUUGGAAGCAAAAGCGGAUGGGAUACAAUGAGCACAAGGGCGCACUCGAAGAAUGACGCUCUUGACUUUGUUCUUUUUUUGUGUAACCUUUAUGUGUUUAAAGGUUGUGUUGUGUAAUGAUACUUAACUUGCUUUUGAAACCACUAUAUUUAUAGGGGUUUUUUUUUGUUAUUUUUUAAACUAGAAAAUCAAUUUUCAAAUGGUCAUGUGUUUCUCUCUU